UACGGAAGGUCCGGGCGUUAUCCGGAUUUAUUGGGUUUAAAGGGAGCGUAGGCCGGAGAUUAAGCGUGUUGUGAAAUGUAGACGCUCAACGUCUGAACUGCAGCGCGAACUGGUUUCCUUGAGUACGCACAAAGUGGGCGGAAUUCGUGGUGUAGCGGUGAAAUGCUUAGAUAUCACGAAGAACUCCGAUUGCGAAGGCAGCUCACUGGAGCGCAACUGACGCUGAAGCUCGAAAGUGCGGGUAUCGAACAGG
rnacentral:rRNA from 1 species